rnacentral:rRNA from 1 species
CGUACAGGUUUCCGUAGGUGAACCUGCGGAAGGAUCAUUAUCAAGAACGUGCUAGCCUUGAUUGGCAGUGGUUAUGUUCAACCCUUUGUGAACCAAAAAAACCUUUAGCUUCGGUAGCUGGGUUGCGGAAACGCUGCCUGUCAGUCUGCCGUUAGCACCUUUACAUAAACUUGCUUUAGAAAAUAUUGUCUGAAUCAAAAAUUUCGAAUGAAAUUAAAACUUUCAACAACGGAUCUCUUGGUUCUCGCAUCGAUGAAGAACGCAGCGAAACGCGAUAGUUAAUGUGAAUUGCAGAAUUCAGUGAAUCAUCGAGUCUUUGAACGCACAUUGCGCCCAUCGGUAUUCCGUUGGGCAUGCCUGUUCGAGCGUCAUUACAAACCCUCAGCGCAAGCUGGUUGUUGGACCUGAGCUGCUUAUGCUGCUCCGGUCUUAAAGUAGUAUGUAACGCUGACCGCCUAACACCUGGCUGGAACAUAGUAAAAUCUCUUGCUUGUUCAGGUCUUGUGGGCGAGCUUCGGCCUGCAGAAUACCCAACAUUUUUUNCAAGGUUUGACCUCGGAAUCAGGCAAGGAUACCCGCUGGAACUUAAGC